rnacentral:rRNA from 1 species
AACAUCGCCUCUUGAUAAAAUAUAAGAGGUCCAGCCUGCCCAGUGACAAAAUUUAACGGCCGCGGUACCCUGACCGUGCGAAGGUAGCAUAAUCACUUGUUCUUUAAAUAGGGACUAGUAUCAACGGCAUCACGAGGGUUACACUGUCUCCUUUCUCCAAUCAGUGAAACUGAUCUUCCCGUGAAGAAGCGGGAAUACACCCAUAAGACGAGAAGACCCCAUGGAGCUUUAAAUUUCACAGCAACUCAGUCACAUAAAUCCUUAUAAUUAACAGAGCUAUGCAUGCCAAUUUUAGGUUGGGGUGACCGCGGAGUAUAAGACAACCUCCACAUCGAAAAGAACUAAAUCUUUAUUUAAGAGCUACAACUCUAAAAAUUAGUAUACUAACGAAUAAUGAUCCGAUAAUCGAUCAACGGACCAAGUUACCCUGGGGAUAACAGCGCAAUCUACUUCAAGAGCCCAUAUCGACAAGUAGGCUUACGACCUCGAUGUUGGAUCAGGGUAUCCUAGUGGUGCAGCCGCUACUAAUGGUUCGUUUGUUCAACGAUUAAAACCCUACGUGAUC